rnacentral:rRNA from 1 species
GAUGAACGCUGGCGGCGUGCCUAAUACAUGCAAGUCGAGCGAACAGACGAGGAGCUUGCUCCUCUGACGUUAGCGGCGGACGGGUGAGUAACACGUGGAUAACCUACCUAUAAGACUGGGAUAACUUCGGGAAACCGGAGCUAAUACCGGAUAAUAUAUUGAACCGCAUGGUUCAAUAGUGAAAGACGGUUUUGCUGUCACAUAUAGAUGGAUCCGCGCCGCAUUAGCUAGUUGGUAAGGUAACGGCUUACCAAGGCAACGAUGCGUAGCCGACCUGAGAGGGUGAUCAGCCACACUGGAACUGAGACACGGUCCAGACUCCUACGGGAGGCAGCAGUAGGGAAUCUUCCGCAAUGGGCGAAAGCCUGACGGAGCAACGCCGCGUGAGUGAUGAAGGUCUUCGGAUCGUAAAACUCUGUUAUUAGGGAAGAACAAAUGUGUAAGUAACUAUGCACGUCUUGACGGUACCUAAUCAGAAAGCCACGGCUAACUACGUG